GAAGGAGAUAAUAAAGAAAGCAUACAGUUCUGUGAGGAGGUGGCUGCACACACCAGUGACCCACAUCACAAGUGUGCAGAUGAAGCGGUUCAGGAAAUAUAUUGUUGACAAGGAGCAACAACCGCAGGCAAGCACCUCCAAGUGUGAUCCUUCAUCAUGGCCAGGGGACGACAGUGAACUGUUAGCUGCAAGCCAGGCUGUUGAAGACACAAUCAAACAGUUCGAGCCCC